rnacentral:rRNA from 1 species
AUCGCCGCUACCAUGCAGUCGAACGAGCGAGAGAGAGCUUGCUUUCUCGAGCGAGUGGCGAACGGGUGAGUAACGCGUGAGGAACCUGCCUCAAAGAGGGGGACAACAGUUGGAAACGACUGCUAAUACCGCAUAAGCCCACGACCCGGCAUCGGGUUGAGGGAAAAGGAGCAAUCCGCUUUGAGAUGGCCUCGCGUCCGAUUAGCUGGUUGGUGAGGUAACGGCCCACCAAGGCAACGAUCGGUAGCCGGACUGAGAGGUUGAACGGCCACAUUGGGACUGAGACACGGCCCAGACUCCUACGGGAGGCAGCAGUGGGGAAUAUUGCACAAUGGGGGAAACCCUGAUGCAGCGACGCCGCGUGGAGGAAGAAGGUCUUCGGAUUGUAAACUCCUGUUGUUGAGGAAGAUAAUGACGGUACUCAACAAGGAAGUGACGGCUAACUACGUGCCAGCAGCCGCGGUAAAACGUAGGUCACAAGCGUUGUCCGGAAUUACUGGGUGUAAAGGGAGCGCAGGCGGGAAGACAAGUUGGAAGUGAAAUCUAUGGGCUCAACCCAUAAACUGCUUUCAAAACUGUUUUUCUUGAGUAGUGCAGAGGUAGGCGGAAUUCCCGGUGUAGCGGUGGAAUGCGUAGAUAUCGGGAGGAACACCAGUGGCGAAGGCGGCCUACUGGGCACCAACUGACGCUGAGGCUCGAAAGUGUGGGUAGCAAACAGGAUUAGAUACCCUGGUAGUCCACACCGUAAACGAUGAUUACUAGGUGUUGGAGGAUUGACCCCUUCAGUGCCGCAGUUAACACAAUAAGUAAUCCACCUGGGGAGUACGACCGCAAGGUUGAAACUCAAAGGAAUUGACGGGGGCCCGCACAAGCAGUGGAGUAUGUGGUUUAAUUCGACGCA